rnacentral:lncRNA from 1 species
UCUUGACUCUGCUUCUAUAUAGAUGCAACUUUCUUAUGCUGCUUUACAUUUAUCCAAAAUUUCUGUGCUCUUAAUAAGCAGAAAGGAAGCAUUCGCUGUUCUUGACCGUAUCUGUAAGAAGUCAAGAAUCAUUAGCUUUCAAUACAUCAUGUGCCAAUAACUGGAGGAAUUAGUAGCUUUGAUGAUUCUCAUGAAGAGUGCCUCAAAUCUAAAAGAGAAGAGGAAGAGUGACUGGCUGCAUAAAAUUCUCUGCAUGAGGUGUCACCAACCAGUAGGGAGGGUUCCCAAGAAGCCUCCAGGUUGAGCUCCUGACUUGCGGACCCUGAGGCAGUGUGGCAGGGUGAGAGGACACAGGCUCUGGAGUUCCCGGGACCCAAGCACAGUGGCUGCAACUUCCUUGCGUUGGCUGUCAAAAAAGGAAACUUAAGCAGAAAUGCCCAGCUGUGAUUUCUCUUCUCCAACUUCCCGUGUUUGACGUGAGGUGUAUAGGCUGGAAAUGCCAGCUCCCUGGCUGCUGAAGGAGAGACUCUGCAGUCUCUCCUUUGUGAUUCUUGCAGCUGCUGAAAGAUACCAUGUCUUCAGUGCCAGAGGAUCAACAAAGAAAAACAACUUGGCCUCACAUGAUAAUGACCCCAAGUGGUUGGUCAAGAAAAAGAAGUGGCAAUGAAUGAACAGAUUAUACAUUUCUUUGAAGAAUUUGAACUGAGUUAUGAUGUAUAGAUGGGAGAUAAACCCGGAACAAGGCUUGCAUCAGAGACGUCCUGAACCGUGAUGUUCUUUUGGUAUCUAAGCAUCCCUGUUUCUUUCUCCAUGCAAUGCAACUUUUUCAUUCUCUUGCAUUAAGUAAAAAUACCAAUAUAAAUAAAAUUCGUUUGAAGAU